rnacentral:rRNA from 1 species
UGGACCUGAUAUCAGCUAGAUGCCAGCC